AUUGAACGCUGGCGGCAUGCUUUACACAUGCAAGUCGAACGGCAGCGCGGGCUUCGGCCUGGCGGCGAGUGGCGAACGGGUGAGUAAUAUAUCGGAACGUACCCAAGAGUGGGGGAUAACGUAGCGAAAGUUACGCUAAUACCGCAUACGAUCUAAGGAUGAAAGCAGGGGAUCGCAAGACCUUGUGCUCCUGGAGCGGCCGAUAUCUGAUUAGCUAGUUGGUGAGGUAAAGGCUCACCAAGGCAACGAUCAGUAGCUGGUCUGAGAGGACGACCAGCCACACUGGAACUGAGACACGGUCCAGACUCCUACGGGAGGCAGCAGUGGGGAAUUUUGGGCAAUGGGCGAAAGCCUGACCCAGCAACGCCGCGUGGGUGACGAAGGCCUUCGGGUCGUAAAGCCCUUUCUGGGGGACGAUAAUGACGGUACCCCAGGAAGAAGCACCGGCUAACUACGUGCCAGCAGCCGCGGUAAU
rnacentral:rRNA from 1 species